rnacentral:rRNA from 1 species
GACGAACGCUGGCGGCGUGCUUAACACAUGCAAGUCGAGCGGUAAGGCCCUUUCGGGGGUACACGAGCGGCGAACGGGUGAGUAACACGUGGGUGACCUGCCCUCAGCUCUGGGAUAAGCCCGGGAAACUGGGUCUAAUACCGGAUAUGACUCCAUGACGCAUGUUGUGGGGUGGAAAGCCUUGUGCGGCUGGGGAUGGGCCCGCGGCCUAUCAGCUUGUUGGUGGGGUGAUGGCCACCAAGGCGACGACGGUAGCCGGCCUGAGAGGGCCGACCGGCCACACUGGGACUGAGACACGGCCCAGACUCCUACGGGAGGCAGCAGGUGGGGAAUCUUGCGCAAUGGGCGAAAGCCUGACGCAGCGACGCCGCGUGA